rnacentral:lncRNA from 12 species
AAAAAUUCCAUAUCAAAUUCCUCUUUCUUGGGAACAUGGAAAGCUGCAGUUCCCAGCAACCAUGCCUUUGAAUAGGAUUGGGUGACUAGUUCUGACCAAUGAAUUAUAUAGAGAGAUUAUGUGUGUCACUUCUGUGAAGUGAAUGAAACACUCCUAUGUAACUCUCUACUUCUUUCUUUACCAACUUAUAAGGUAGCCGAAGUUUGAGGUGCCAGAGCUACAAAAUGAAAACAAUCCAUAUUGCCGAGCCAUUGCAAAGAGAAUGGCUGCCAUGAAGAGGUAGCCCAGACUGUGUGACUUUGUUUCUUUUGGAAGUACUCGUUACUGCAGCAUAAGCCUGAUCUAUUCUAACUAAAACAGGUGGGAGCACAUUAUUAGUGAGCUGUGACUGAACUUUAUUUCUAAAUAUCGCAUAAUUAAAUAUGGAGCUAUUUAAAGGUGAAGCUUGGCACAGUUCAUCCAUGAGCAGAGGAACAGAACAGGCUUCUUUGCACUGCAUCAUCAGUCGACCUCAACUGUGAAUUUCUAGUCAGCAAAUGGGCGCUUCAUUUGGUACAUUUGAGCAGAGGAAGACGAGAGCUGCUCUAAAAAUGAUCACGUUGCCAUCUGAUCUACAGCUCCAUUGAUGACAAAUCAAUGCUCCACCCUAAGGUCGGUUACGACUCUGGUGUGCUGAUCCUUUGCAAACCCCACUGCUGCAACCAUGAAAGGGCGGGGCUGCGUCCUGAGACAUCUGUGGACCAGAGUUGCUGGCAGGGACCACAGAGCUUUCCAUUGAUGUGACUGCUCCCAGCUUGGCUGCAGGAACAGUCGACCUGAGGUAACUACUUCCACAUAUCAACACUUGUCAGUGGUGGUCUGAGAGCCGCAGAGACUGCAGGAGGGGGAAGUACCUGCUUUGGCAACAGAGCUAACCAGCUACCCUGCCCCCCUCUGCCAUCAAAUCUUUCCUAUGGGAGACAGAGAGGAAGCCGUGUAGGAGAAAACUGUAGAGUAAUAAAGCAAAAUCAAUGCUUAAAGUAUGGCA